rnacentral:lncRNA from 1 species
GUUGUCUAUACCACUUAAGAGGAGAAGGCGUUGGAGAUUGAUUCUGGUUAGAAGUGCUUUGAGGCACUAGAAAUGGAAAAAAAAAAAUGAACGUUGUUGGCUAUGAUAGCCAAAUUGGCGAGAAAUUGAGGCCAUCCAAAACCUCUUUCAUGCGAAUGACACCCAGUGGGGUGAUCUUGAGCAUAAAGUGGGGAAAGGGGGAGGUAGUGACCUCCCAAUUAUGAAGCUACGUGGAGUAAUAACACAUUGUGAGGCAAAGAAGACAAAAGCAUGAGCCUUCGGGCUAGACUGGCCAUAUUAACUAGAGGUGCUGCACGCUCCAUCGGGACACCAUUGGGAGAGAGGUAAUAGCCUAGUACUGCACACUCCAUUGGAAAUGUCUUCUGGAGAUAGGGUAAUGACUAGGUGCUACCUACUUCCUUUUAGUGGCCCUUGGAGAGGGAGUAAUGACCUCAGGUAUAGUGAUAAGGGGGAGGAUGAGCCAAUAGAGCUUGAGGCCAUCUGAGAAUCCCGAGACCAUUUCACUCAAAAUUAAGGCAAGAGGCCUUCUGAGACACAAUUGAGGCAAGAGGCCUCCUGAGAUAGAAUUGAGGCAAGAGGCCUUCUGAGACAAAAGUGAGGCAAAAGCCUCUCAUGUAUUGUUUUGCUUGCAGGAAUGGUGCAAGAAUAUUAAAGAUAACAUAGGAGAGACUAUGAGCAAUACUUCAGAAGUGAACCAGAGGAACAUUUAUUAAUGGCGUGCAUUACGAGCUAAUGCCUAUGAAGUAGGCAAGGGUGGAAUCCCAGAACCUCAAUCUGUGUCGUAGGAUGGAGGUAGAUGAUUUUCUCUUUAAUAUGAACUUAUUUGUUAAUAUUAUUGGGAAUUGUGAUUGUGCAUAUAUAUAAAGAACAACAUUUAUGUGAUCGAACUAUAAAGCUAAAUUUAUUCCAAGGAUGAAAGUGUAAAGUCUUAUGGAUAGAGAGCGUUCCCACUGGACAUGAGAAAAGGGAUAUGAAAUGGUAAGCUUCAAUUUUACUACAAGAAUGUAACAUUCGUUAUUCAAGAGAGUUGGUAAACUCCAACAAAGUGUUCAUAAGGAAAGUACAUAAAGGAAUUGUUUAGCAUAUAUGGCUAACACAAAAGAAUGUGGCACUUGACUUUAAUAGAGUAAGCGGAUUGUGACAACAAAUUCAAGAGACAUGGAUGAGCUUAAAACCUUCCUGAAUAUGGUGUAGAGCAAAGGAUGACUAAGAUUGAGUUGAUUCUAUUACCAAGGAGUUAAAGUGAUGUUCAACUCUGGUAUCUAAUUGAUAGCCGCCUAAGAAGAUGGGCUAAAGCAGUAAGUGGGGGAGCAAUCUGAAAUGUGAUUAACAAGAUGACAUAGAAGUGGCAUAACUAAGCAGUAUGAAGUGUUCUCUAUGAAGAAAGCCAUAUUAUUCUACAAAUUGCUUGGGCAAAAAUGCUUCGAAGGUCUUGAAGGACUUGGUGAGUAAGGGAGGAGGGAACAUAAGGUAUAAAUCAUAGAGUUGUCAACUCUAAGUUGUUUGUAUUUUCUUGUUCCUCCUCGUCUAAGGUAGUAUUGUUCGCGUGAAGGGAUCAAGCAUGAUGGAAAUAUUCUGCGAGUUAUGUGUCGAAUAAGGGAC